UACAGAGGGGGCAGGCGUUGUUCGGAAUUACUGGGCGUAAAGGGCGCGUAGGCGGCCUUCUAAGUCGAACGUGAAAUCCCCGGGCUCAACCCGGGAACUGCGUCCGAUACUGGGAGGCUUGAAUCCGGGAGAGGGAUGUGGAAUUCCAGGUGUAGCGGUGAAAUGCGUAGAUAUCGGGAGGAACACCUGUGGCGAAGGCGGCCCCCUGGUUGGAUACUGACGCUGAUACGCGAAAGCGUGGGGAGCGAACAGG
rnacentral:rRNA from 1 species